rnacentral:tRNA from 1 species
GAAGAAAAUCCGUCGACUUUAAAAAUCGUGAG